UACGUAGGGCGCAAGCGUUGUCCGGAAUUAUUGGGCGUAAAGAGCUCGUAGGCGGCUCGUUGCGUCCAUCGUGAAAACUCAGGGCUUAACUCUGAGCUUGCGGUGGAUACGGGCGGGCUAGAGUUCGGUAGGGGAGUCUGGAAUUCCUGGUGUAGCGGUGAAAUGCGCAGAUAUCAGGAGGAACACCGAUGGCGAAGGCAGGACUCUGGGCCGAUACUGACGCUGAGGAGCGAAAGCGUGGGGAGCAAACAGG
rnacentral:rRNA from 1 species